rnacentral:rRNA from 1 species
AAAUUGAAGAGUUUGAUCAUGGCUCAGAUUGAACGCUGGCGGCAGGCCUAACACAUGCAAGUCGAACGGUAACAGGAAGCAGCUUGCUGCUUCGCUGACGAGUGGCGGACGGGUGAGUAAUGUCUGGGAAACUGCCUGAUGGAGGGGGAUAACUACUGGAAACGGUGGCUAAUACCGCAUAACGUCGCAAGACCAAAGAGGGGGACCUUCGGGCCUCUUGCCAUCAGAUGUGCCCAGAUGGGAUUAGCUUGUUGGUGAGGUAACGGCUCACCAAGGCGACGAUCCCUAGCUGGUCUGAGAGGAUGACCAGCCACACUGGAACUGAGAGACGGUCCAGACUCCUACGGGAGGCAGCAGUGGGGAAUAUUGCACAAUGGGCGCAAGCCUGAUGCAGCCAUGCCGCGUGUAUGAAGAAGGCCUUCGGGUUGUAAAGUACUUUCAGCGGGGAGGAAGGUGUUG